rnacentral:rRNA from 1 species
AGUGAACGCUGGCGGUAGGCCUAACACAUGCAAGUCGAACGGCAGCACAGUAAGAGCUUGCUCUUACGGGUGGCGAGUGGCGGACGGGUGAGGAAUACAUCGGAAUCUACUUUUUCGUGGGGGAUAACGUAGGGAAACUUACGCUAAUACCGCAUACGACCUACGGGUGAAAGCAGGGGAUCUUCGGACCUUGCGCGAUUGAAUGAGCCGAUGUCGGAUUAGCUAGUUGGCGGGGUAAAGGCCCACCAAGGCGACGAUCCGUAGCUGGUCUGAGAGGAUGAUCAGCCACACUGGAACUGAGACACGGUCCAGACUCCUAGGGGAGGCAGCAGUGGGGAAUAUUGGACAAGGGGCGCAAGCCUGAUCCAGCCAUACCGCGUGGGUGAAGAAGGCCUUCGGGUUGUAAAGCCCUUUUGUUGGGAAAGAAAAGCAGCAGGUUAAUACCCCGCUGUUCUGACGGUACCCAAAGAAUAAGCACCGGCUAACUUCGUG